rnacentral:rRNA from 1 species
UGCGCAGGCGGCCUGGUAAGCCAGGGGUGAAAUAUGACGGCUCAACCGUCAAACUGCCCCUGAAACUGCCAGGCUUGAGUCCGGGAGAGGAAGGUGGAAUUCCUGGUGUAGCGGUGAAAUGCGUAAAUAUCAGGAGGAACACCGGUGGCGAAGGCGGCCUUCUGGCCCGGUACUGACGCUCAGGCACGAAAGCCAGGGGAGCGAACG